AUUGAACGCUGGCGGCAGGCCUAACACAUGCAAGUCGAGCGGAUGACGGGAGCUUGCUCCUUGAUUCAGCGGCGGACGGGUGAGUAAUGCCUAGGAAUCUGCCUGGUAGUGGGGGACAACGUCUCGAACGGAACGCUAAUACCGCAUACGUCCUACGGGAGAAAGCAGGGGACCUUCGGACCUUGCCCUAUCAGAUGAGCCUAGGUCGGAUUAGCUAGUUGGUGGGGUAAUGGCUCACCAAGGCGACGAGCCGUAACUGGUCUGAGAGGAUGAUCAGUCACACUGGAACUGAGACACGGUCCAGACUCCUACGGGAGGCAGCAGUGGGGAAUAUUGGACAAUGGGCGAAAGCCUGAUCCAGCCAUGCCGCGUGUGUGAAGAAGGUCUUCGGAUUGUAAAGCACUUUAAGUUGGGAGGAAGGGCAGUAAGUUAAUACCUUGCUGUUUUGACGUUACCGACAGAAUAAGCACCGGCUAACUCUGUGCCAGCAGCCGCCGUAA
rnacentral:rRNA from 1 species